rnacentral:lncRNA from 1 species
UUCUUCUUCCUCCUUCCUUCUUCUUCUUCUUCUUCUAAUUAACUAAACCUAGCACUAACCUAGCACUAAAUCUACUAACUAACUAAAUCUACCAACAAAAGUACCACUAAAUCUACUAAUUAACUAAACCUAGCACUAACCUACCACUAAAUCUACCACUAAUUAAUAAAAAAAAAACUUAGCACUAAUUAAGUAAACCUAGCACUAACCUACCACUAAAUCUACUAAAUAACUAAAUCUACCAACUAACCUACCACUAAAUCAACUAAUUAACUAAACCUAGCACUAACCUCCACUAAUUAACAAAAGAAAAAAAA